rnacentral:rRNA from 1 species
CCAAUAGCGUAUAUUAAAGUUGUUGCAGUUAAAAAGCUCGUAGUUGAAUUUCGGGGUUAGUAGGUUGGUCAUGCCUCUGGUAUGUACUGGUCUCACUGAUUCCUCCUUCCUGAUGAGCCGUAAUGCCAUUAAUUUGGUGUUGCGGGGAAUUUGGACUGUUACUUUGAAAAAAUGAGAGUGUUUAAAGCAAGCUAACGCUUGAAUACAUUAGCAUGGAAUAAUGAAAUAGGACGUUCGAUCCUAUUUUGUUGGUUUCUAGGAUUGACGUAAUGAUUAAUAGGGAUAGUUGGGGGCAUUAGUAUUCAAUUGUCAGAGGUGAAAUUCUUGGAUUUAUUGAAGACUAACUACUGCGAAAGCAUUUGCCAAGGAUGUUUUCAUUAAUCAAGAACGAAAGUUAGGGGAUCGAAGACGAUCAGAUACCGUCGUAGUCUUAACCAUAAACUAUGCCGACUAGGGAUCGGAUGAUGUUAAUUUUUUAAUGACUCAUUCGGCGCCUUACG